UACGUAGGGGGCAAGCGUUGUCCGGAAUCAUUGGGCGUAAAGAGCGCGUAGGCGGCGCUGUAAGUCCGCUGUGAAAGUCAAGGGCUCAACCCUUGAACGCCGGUGGAUACUGCAGGGCUAGAGUCCGGAAGAGGCGAGUGGAAUUCCUGGUGUAGCGGUGAAAUGCGCAGAUAUCAGGAAGAACACCUAUGGCGAAGGCAGCUCUCUGGGACGGUACUGACGCUGAGACGCGAAAGCGUGGGGAGCGAACAGG
rnacentral:rRNA from 1 species